rnacentral:rRNA from 1 species
CUUUUGCUAGUAUCAAUUGGAGGGCAAGUCUGGUGCCAGCAGCCGCGGUAAUUCCAGCUCCAAUAGCGUAUAUUAAAGUUGUUGCGGUUAAAAAGCUCGUAGUUGGAUUUCUGCCUAGGACCACCGGUCCGCCCUCUGGGUGACCCUCUGGCUCGGCCUGGGCAUCCUUUUGGAGAACGUAGCUGCACUUGACUGUGUGGUGCGGUAUCCAUGACUUUUACUUUGAGGAAAUUAGAGUGUUUCAAGCAGGCCCACGCCUUGUAUACAUUAGCAUGGAAUAAUAACAUAGGACCUCGGUUCUAUUUUGUUGGUUUCUAGAGCUGAGGUAAUGAUGAAUAGGGAUAGUUGGGGGCAUUCGUAUUUAACUGACAGAGGUGAAAUUCUUGGAUUUGUUAAAGACGGACUACUGCGAAAGCAUUUGCCAAGGAUGUUUUCAUUGAUCAAGAACGAAAGUUAGGGGAUCGAAGACGAUCAGAU